rnacentral:rRNA from 1 species
GCUUAGAGAGGGGUCAAUGUCCUAUCAGCUAGUUGGUAGGGUAAUGGCCUACCAAGGCUAAGACGGGUAGCCAGCCUGAGAGGGUGGUCGGCCACACUGGGACUGAGACACUGCCCAGACUCCUACGGGAGGCUGCAGUCGAGAAUCUUUCGCAAUGCCCGAAAGGGUGACGAAGCGACGCCGCGUGUGGGAAGAAGGCCUUCGGGUUGUAAACCACUGUCGGGAGUUAAGAAAUGUAAGGGUGUUAAUAGCAUCCUUACUUGACUAAGGCUCCGGAGGAAGCCACGGCUAACUCUGUGCCAGCAGCCGCGGUAAUACAGAGGCGGCAAGCGUUGUUCGGAAUUAUUGGGCGUAAAGAGCACGUAGGCGGCCUUGUAAGUCAGUUGUGAAAGCCUUCUGCUCAACGGAAGAACAGCAUCUGAUACUGCAAGGCUAGAGUGCGGAAGGG